rnacentral:lncRNA from 1 species
GGGAUACAGAUAACUCGAAUAAGUCUUCUUUUUGCUAGUUUUAUUUUGUUUUUAUUUUCUUAUUAUUGCAUAUUUUGUUUUUGGUGUGUAUGUUUUGUUUUGCAAUGUAGGCCGACCUACUAAGAUCUACACAAUAUUAAGAGCUUUAACGAAGUUUGAGGACUAUUCCACCGUUUUGCUGGACUUACAUUGGAUAAGGGAGUCUCCUUAAACUUUAUCAUUAGUUGGGACAAAUUGGGAACAAUGUGUAACUUAAGUGUGGAAGGAUGCAUAUAGUUUUCAAUUUUAUUUGUUUU